UGCUAAUAACAUUAUUAUUAUUGUAGUGUAGUACGCUGCUCACACAAAAACAUCCCAACUGCAAAAGAUUGCCGAAACCUUUCUAAAAGAACAACUGGUUUCAUUUCAUGAAGUCCGGAAAUUGGGAGAAGACUCGAUCAUGUACAUUCUUCAAGACCUCAAAUACUGUGAUGCAACUGUUUGCCCGCUAGCGCAAUGGAUACUUUAAUAAUUUAUGUUGAGAUGCUACGUUAAGUAACCAACCAGUUACCGUGUAUUGUACACCAUGUGGCGUGCAUGACAAGUUCUUUAACAACCUGAAUACAGCUGCAGCCUACAAAGCAAUUCGAAAAUCGAUAGAAGUAUCGUUUUCUCCGGCCACAUACUCGUACUGAUUUCAUUGCAGCAAUUUUUGCGUCGCUAUAGCCAGUAGUCUUACGGUUAAUUAUUUACAGGGCUGUGCAUUCUUCAGCACUAAUCUCACUAGCUAACCAGAAAAUGGGACAUUCUCGUUUGUUAUUGUCUUUUCUGUUGGUGUUAACGAUGACCCUGGCACUUUUUAAUCAUGUGGCAGCCGGAAAUUCAAAACAGAGCGAAACCGCUCCUGUGGUUUCUCCGAAGAACGCCACUGGCACCGCGAUCCCCGUUGCCGGAAAGGACAACUCGACGGGCACAAUCAAUCAAACCAAAGCGAAACCUCAAGUCAGGAACAUACCUAGGCCAACAGGCUGAGCCCCCCAAGUGUGGCGCAAGAGCGUCGGUGUAAUCGUUUCGCAUACUUAGGUUCAUGCUGGAUGGUUCUGUGCCCACAACAUUUUCGGUCCAGAUUUAAUAUCAAAAUGCAGCUGUACGUUAUAACUUGUAAGUACUUUGAACUGUAUUCAGUGUGUUGCAGCCUGCAGACCAUAGAAAACCUCAUGCUAGAACUGUCAAUACAUGUGAUGCAGACCAGAAAAAAAUGAAACGUGUUG